AGAGUUUGAUCCUGGCUCAGGAUGAACGCUGGCGGCGUGCCUAAUACAUGCAAGUCGAACGAGUUUUGGUCGAUGAACGGUGUUUGCACUGUGAUUCAACUUAAAACGAGUGGCGGACGGGUGAGUAACACGUGGGUAACCUGCCCUUAAGUGGGGGAUAACAUUUGGAAACAGAUGCUAAUACCGCAUAAAUCCAAGAACCGCAUGGUUCUUGGCUGAAAGAUGGCGUAAGCUAUCGCUUUUGGAUGGACCCGCGGCGUAUUAGCUAGUUGGUGAGGUAACGGCUCACCAAGGCGAUGAUACGUAGCCGAACUGAGAGGUUGAUCGGCCACAUUGGGACUGAGACACGGCCCAAACUCCUACGGGAGGCAGCAGUAGGGAAUCUUCCACAAUGGACGCAAGUCUGAUGGAGCAACGCCGCGUGAGUGAAGAAGGCUUUCGGGUCGUAAAACUCUGUUGUUGGAGAAGAAUGGUCGGCAGAGUAACUGUUGUCGGCGUGACGGUAUCCAACCAGAAAGCCACGGCUAACUACGUGCCAGCAGCCGCGGUAAUACGUAGGUGGCAAGCGUUAUCCGGAUUUAUUGGGCGUAAAGCGAGCGCAGGCGGUUUUUUAAGUCUGAUGUGAAAGCCCUCGGCUUAACCGAGGAAGCGCAUCGGAAACUGGGAAACUUGAGUGCAGAAGAGGACAGUGGAACUCCAUGUGUAGCGGUG
rnacentral:rRNA from 1 species